CGCCAAAUCACUUUUUAAUAGACACCCUGCCGCCGAUCGGAAUUCAAGUAGCUAUUCACUCAGCCGUGGUAUAAAAUUUUACCAUGUGUAAAUUACAGAAUAUUCUUAGAGGAUUGUGGAUAUAGCUAACUAAAAGCAGCGCAUGAUGUAAUUGGUGGACCAGCUUCUAUGGGUUACCAAGUUUGCCUACGUCACAGAGGUCGUUCCAGGUCAGAGGGCAGAUUCAGCUACAUCUGGAGCUGAGAGUCUCAAUCUGGUUCGAGCACUCCUCCGGACAGGAAGGCCGAUCUUACUACCGCAGGGGCUUGAACACACCCUUACUGUGCUGGGCUGCUGUCCCCAGUGUACAAACCCUUCAUGCAAUGUCCGGAAGGAAAUAUUGGCAUAGAGAAGGAGAGCGCUAUUCAGCCUCUGGAAUUGACUUUGAAAUGAACAGGAGAAACGUCAUUUCAGCGCGCUGCACUAACCAGUGUGAAAAACAGAUAGUGACAGUGAUAACAAAGCAGACUCUCUCAUCUUGUCUCUGUGGACCAACCCUGCAGCAGCUAUUUGUCACAAGCAGAUGUUUCAGAGAACCAUGACCUCGAGUGUGGUUGCUGGGGAAUGGGAGCUUGGCGCCAGUUGUGAUUGGAAACCUGCAGAGCAGCGAGGGCAUGGUCAAGGGUUUUAAUGAAGAUUUUGAGGCUGGAGUUGAUGACGAGUCUAUUUCCCCGGACUUGAUUCAGCUGUUUCUCCAUCUGGCGUUUGAGCACCUGGGGU